rnacentral:rRNA from 1 species
AUGAUUGUUAUGUUCCCCUCGAUAAUUGAAGUUGUUGAUGAUAAUGCACAAAAUGCCAGCAAAGCUCUUGAUAGGAUUAAAGCAAAAGGUGUUCUGGACGCUAUUCAAACAUUAGACUUUGUUUUCAUGAUGCACUUGAUGAAGGCUGACAUUGUGAAUGUCGUGUCGUAUCUUCACACAACCAAAAUAAGGCUACAAGAAAUGAGAAACCAAGGUUGGGAAGGUAUGAUUGAAAAGGUUACAGAUUUUUGCAUUGAACAAGAUAUUGAACUUUCUGAUAUGGAUGCUAUGCAUAUUUCCCGAGGAUCAAAAUCAAAGCGUAAGGUUCAGACUGAUGGCAUAUCAAAUAAGAAUUACUACCAAACUGUGAUGUACGUUGUUAUUGAUAUGUUACGUGUAGAGAUUGAUGACCGCUUUAGUGAAAGCAGCACAACCUUGCUUCUUGGAUGGCUUCUUUGGAUCCUCUAG